rnacentral:rRNA from 1 species
GACGAACGCUGGCGGCGUGCUUAACACAUGCAAGUCGAACGGAAAGGCCCUGCUUUUGUGGGGUGCUCGAGUGGCGAACGGGUGAGUAACACGUGAGUAACCUGCCCUUGACUGUGGGAUAACUUCAGGAAACUGGGGCUAAUACCGGAUAGGAGCUCCUGCUGCAGGGUGGGGGUUGGAAAGUUUCGGCGGUUGGGGAUGGACUCGCGGCUUAUCAGCUUGUUGGUGGGGUAGUGGCUUACCAAGGCUUUGACGGGUAGCAGGCCUGAGAGGGUGACCGGCCACACUGGGACUGAGAUACGGCCCAGACUCCUCUGGGAGGCAGCAGUGGGGAAUAUUGCACAAUGGGCGGAAGCAUGAUGCAGCACCGCCGCGUGGGGGAUGACGGCCUUCGGGUUGUAAACCGCUUUCGCCUGUGACGAAGCGUGAGUGACGGUAAUGGGUAAAGAAGCACCGGCUAACUCCGUG